rnacentral:rRNA from 1 species
UACGUAGGGUGCAAGCGUUGUCCGGAAUUAUUGGGCGUAAAGAGCUCGUAGGCGGUCUGUCGCGUCUGCCGUGAAAACCCGAGGCUUAACCUCGGGCUGGCGGUGGAUACGGGCAGACUAGAGGUAGGUAGGGGAGAAUGGAAUUCCCGGUGUAGCGGUGAAAUGCGCAGAUAUCGGGAGGAACACCGGUGGCGAAGGCGGUUCUCUGGGCCUUACCUGACGCUGAGGAGCGAAAGCAUGGGGAGCGAACAGG